CAUAAGUCCCCAUACAGGUCCGUUAGAUUCCACCUGACCUCCCUAAUUCUGUUUAUAUGGUUUAAUAACAAAAAAAUGAGUGCAUGUUCUUUGAUCCGAUUGAAGAUAUUCGUGCACAAUUUGGAUCUGUGUGCACAAAGGGUUGAUCAAGUAGCAAUUAGGUUUACCGAUCCAUGUGUAAACAACUGAACAUUAAGCAAUUGUAGAUGCAAUGAAAUUUUGCAAUAUUCCCAUGUACAUGAUAGAUAGCUUUGUUUUGACUCCAUAUUGAUCGGCACAGGGUAGUUUAAUAAUCAUCUAAAACACACUAGAUGGCACCCAGUAAAGCAUGAUGGAUCUAGUUGAUAAUCACCUCAGCACUGAAUGUUUGGAUGCAAAGAAGUCUGAAAAAAUGAGACUAAGCCAGGUUUGCAUACUUUAGUGAUAAAUGCAGAGGAGUCCAAAGGUCAGACUCUGCCCCCUCAAAAUACAACUAACCUGUAUUGUAUCUAUUUCUUUUUCAAUAUUAACAGUUAUUACUUAUGUCUUGUAGUCAUGAACAAGCAUGCAGCCAUUCGUGGGGAUGUCAAUCAACAUUAACCACAUGCUUGCAGAAGAUGCACUCUGUGCAGCCCUACAUGUUCUAUGAAAGUGUGUAUGGAAACUACUUGUGUUACAUGUGUAAUGCAUUAUUCAGUCAACUUAGAUAGGAAUGCAUUUUCUGUGACCUCACUUUUAUUUACUAACCAAUCAUACAUCAUACAUGAAGAAAUGUUAAUGUUGUUCUAAUGUAAUGACGUACAGACUUCUGGUCAAUCUUUACAAUAUUCUCAUUCUACUAUAUAUGAUGUUAAUCUAACCAGUCAUUGAAUAAUUUCUCAGCCUGCAUCCGAAACUUUGCCUGUGUGUACAGCAUGACUAAUGCAAAUAAGGCAGCUCCUACAUUUUUCAGUGAAGUUAGAGCUUAGUUGGAUCAGAAUUGUCCAUUCUUUGAGUCUAGGAUAAAGAUCACUUCACUCAGGCAGUCUACUUUUGUAGCUAACUGCAGCAUGUGUUUUCAAAAAUUUUCUGGACUGUCCUCUUCUAAUUAGGCAGGUUCAUAUGAACUAGAAAUCUCACCUUUCCAUCUUAAUAAUUGUUGUUUUUGGCUUUUGAUUUUUUUAUGUUCUUGCAGGUGGUUUUGUUGAGGUUUAAAUGUUUGAUGUAUGCAUAAUCAACAUUUAUAUCGGUAAAAUAUGAUUCAAAACAGAUACAUAACUAUUUUUUUUUCCAGUUGGGAAAUCCUGCCAUUGAGUCGACCGACUGCAACUGUUGUUCACCAAUGCAGGAAUUUGGGCAUUUGGCUCUCAGUUGCUGGCACAAAAACAGCAGAAAUUUGGUUCACCUGGCCUCACUUUGUAAAUAAUAGAUUAUCUGGAAUAGGAUCAAGAGUGCGCUGCCUGGUGGGACUGUUGGAGCCAACAUGAAUUAGAAAAGGCAGCUAUAAGCACGGAUCAUGAUGAAGAAGAUUCUUAGAAGCAUGACAUGAGAAUUGUUCACGAAGAGACCUUUGAUGAUUUGCUGCCUUCAAGGUUCAAGCAUAGCUGAUUGCUAGAGUGCUUUCAUAAGGCAAAUAGUGAACCUUCUCAUUAUUUUUUCCUUAUUGGAUCGGUCUUAAGUCAGCGACUGUUAGAUUCGUGCCUGAGGCUGGUUCAUUUUUUCUGUUUGUUGCAAAGAAACAUCUUAAAGUAUUGAGAGGUUGCAUAAAUAAUAACUGCUUGCUGCUGUAAAUUUAUUUCUUUAUAUGUAAGCAACAGAUGCUAUAAAUUUGGCCCUUAACAGUUAUAAAGAUUGAGCCAUUAUCACAAGCGUUCGUUACCUCUC